GACGAACGCUGGCGGCGUGCCUAAUACAUGCAAGUCGAACGCUGAAGGAGGCUCUUGCUUUUCUGGAUGAGUCGCGAACGUGUGAGAAACACGUAGGUAAGCUCCCUGGUAGCGGGUGAUAACGGUUGGAAACGAUAGCUACUACCGCCUAAGAGUAGAUGAUGCAUGACGUUCGCAUAACAGCUGCCGUUGCAUCACGACGAGGUCGGCCUGCGUUGUUUUAGCUGGUUGGGGGGGUAAAGGCGCACCAAGGCGACGAUACUUAGCCGACCAGGGAGGGUGAUCGGCCACACUUGGACUGGGGCACGGCCCAAGACUCUUCGGGAGGCAGCAGUAGGGGAUCAUCGGCAAUGGGCGGCAGUCUUACCGCACAACGCCGGCUGAGUGAAGGAGGGUCUCCGGUCGUAAAGCCCUGUUGUACGGGGAGAACGAGGGUGGGACUGAAAAGUUCACCCUGUGACGGUACCUGAUCAGAAAGCGACGGCUAACUACGUG
rnacentral:rRNA from 1 species